GCCAUAUAAACCCAUUUCAUAAUUGGAGGAUAGAACCACCUAAGAGAGAGAACAGUCCAGUCUACCUGCCUAGGAUUCCUCUUGGAAAGGAAGGCUGACUCGCAUUUUGCAUUAAGAAAUUGGAAAACCUUCCAGUUGGACCUAGCUAGUGCCUCCAGUAUCCGAGGUAGAUCUUGUACCAGCUGAAAUUGCACAGCUUGACCUUCAUGGCGGUGGCUCCCGGGGAAGAGGUGCCAGGAGGAUUGACCCCUAGCAAGAUUGAAGAACUCACCUUUUGGCUAAAAGACAUUGCUUUCGUGAGACUGGUACAUGGCGUGGUGGUUAAGGACUUCCACAUGGUCGACCACAGUUCGAGUCCUGG